CCUGCUCGUCCUGCAACCUGACUUCGCUAUACAUACCGGAAGCGGCUUUCUGCCCUGACGAUCACGAACAAUGGAAUUGCGCAUGGUACCAUCGGGCCACUAUAUCCGAAUAAACUAAAUAUCACGUUUUUUCACAAGCCCUAGAGUAACGGUUAUUCGCUACACAAAAUGAAGUAUAUUAUACUUGAAGCUAGCAGCAGCGACAGCGGCAGCAGCAGCAGAGAACGGCGAACCUGCAGAUGGUCCUUACAACUUCUCGAGGUCGUUCAACUCUAGUCUGCAGAUUGUCCUUUACCAACAAGUUCAUUCGUUUGUUCGAUUGUUUAUUUAUUCGUUUAUAUAUUCGAAACCAGUAGAAAUAUACUUCCAAAAAGAGGUAUUCAAAGUUGAUCUUUGACGUAGGUAUAACUACAUCUAAUUGUAAGUUUCUCUGAUCAAACCGGGCCGUCGGUUUUGGUAUAUUAAUUUUAAUUUUUUUUUUUUUUCAAUUUUCAAUUUUGAGUUUUUCUUUUCCUUUUAUCGUGUUUCAUUACAUAAGCCGCAGACGCUGUACAUGACACGGGAACUCCACGGGCUGGUUACUCAAUUACCCCGUGAAUUCUUCCAGUGCCAUUAACAGAGUUCACAGCAUCAGAUGUAGUCGCUCGGAUAAUUUUUACGUUUAUGGUACCAAAAAUACGAUUCAGUCCCUCAUUAUCAUUCCCACAAGAUCUUCCAAACUUUCUUCUAUCUUCUUUUUCUUUUUCUGUUUCUUUUUCUUUUACUUCUUAUUUUUAUUUUCUUCUGGUAUAGUUCGUAAUUAUGACAACGACUAUGAUGGGGUGCAAAUUUUUUUCAGAACAAUCGGAAAAUUUAUGUUUUAAAUAAUUAUGUAAUAUCACAUCAAACGUACUAUGCGAUCGAUCGAUCCGAGAUCAAUACCUACAGAGAUAGAUCGGAUUACUCGUUACUUAUAAUAGUUACAGACAUUACAGUUUGGUAACAGCUCAUACUUCAAACAUACGUGUGCACAGACAUGGAUAUUCAGGUAGUCGAAAGUUUGUUAAAAUAUAUAUGUAUUUUCGUAGGUAUACCUAUACGUACGACGUAAUGAUGCAAUGAUCAUUCAUGUCUGUGAUAAACGAAGAAAAGAACUUAUAAAAGAAAAACUUGAGAAAAAAAAAAUAAAUAAUAAAACCGAAAACUUCUAACCGUCAUCGCGGCGUAUAGAUAUAAAAAAAAGAU